rnacentral:lncRNA from 1 species
GAAGAUCGAGAACUAGCACCACCGACCCACAUGGUCAUCACGCCAAGUGAUCAAGAAAUCUUCGCACCAAUAAAGAACAAGUAGGAAGAGGGAGGGAAUUAUGGACGAUGCGUGGGGGGUUACUGACCUCGGAGAGGGUGAGGCCGAGGUCGGCGAUGAUGUCAUCCUGGGUGGGGGAGGAGUAGCCGCCGGUGAAGCCGAACUGGAUGGGGCCGAGGGCGACGAUGAGGGUGCAGAGGACGACGGAGAUGGAGGAGUCGCGGAUGACGGAGGCGGAGGAUGCCAUGAGGCUGGAUUGGCGCGACCCCAUCCCCAUCCGGUACCAGCUCCCCGUGUGGAGGAACGGCUUCCUGAGGUCGCCUCGCC